UGCGACUUCGGUCAAAUGACUUUUGAACUUAGUGGCGGACGGGUGAGUAACGCGUGAGCAACCUGCCUUGUACAGGGGGAUAACAGCUGGAAACGGCUGCUAAUACCGCAUAAGCGCACAGUACCGCAUGGUACGGUGUGAAAAACUCCGGUGGUGUGAGAUGGAUCCGCGUCUGAUUAGCUGGUUGGUGAGGUAACGGCCCACCAAGGCGACGAUCAGUAGCCGGCCUGAGAGGGUGAACGGCCACAUUGGGACUGAGACACGGCCCAAACUCC
rnacentral:rRNA from 1 species